GUCUCUUCGGGGAUGAUUAAACCGGCGCACGGGUGAGUAACACGUGAGUGACCUGCCUUUUAGACUGGAACAACUUACCGAAAGGUGAGCUAAUGCCGGAUGAGUUAUAUAAGUGCAUGUUUAUAUAGGAAAAGUUGGGGAGACCUGACGCUGAAAGAUGGACUCGCGUCCCAUUAGCUAGUUGGUAGGGUAAUGGCCUACCAAGGCGACGAUGGGUAGCCGGCCUGAGAGGGUGGCCGGCCACACUGGGACUGAGACACGGCCCAGACUCCUACGGGAGGCAGCAGUGGGGAAUUUUGCGCAAUGCUCGUAAGAGUGACGCAGCGACGCCGCGUGAAUGACGAAGGCCUUCGGGUCGUAAAGUUCUUUCGACAGGGAAGAAAAUGCCUAUAAGUAACUGUGUAUGUAUUGACGGUACCUGUAUAAGCAGCCCCGGCUAACUCCGUGCCAGCAGCCGGGGUAAUACGGAGGGGGCGAGCGUUGUUCGGAGUGACUGGGCGUAAAGAGCACGUAGGCGGUGUUGUAAGUCAUUAGUCAAAGACUAGAGCUCAACUUUAGUAAGGCUAGUGAUACUAUAAUACUAGAGUAUCAGAGAGGAUUGCAGAAUUCCUGGUGUAGCGGUGAAAUGCGUAGAUAUCAGGAGGAAUACCGUUAGCGAAGGCGGCAAUCUGGCUGGAAACUGACGCUGAGGUGCGAAAGCGUGGGUAGCAAACAGGAUUAGAUACCCUGGUAGUCCACGCUGUAAACGAUGGAUGCU
rnacentral:rRNA from 1 species